GAUUGGCCUGUCCCACUCACUCCAGCAAAAGGGUUUGUUGUGGACCCCACUGGCACAGGAAUUUCAGCUGGUGCGGUCAAGCAGAAGAGCCUAUUCCAUUGUGGUCCUAUGGAACAUUUUAGCACUGGAAGUGAGAACUGCCCCCACCCUUUUGGCUUUCCAGAAAGGGCAGCAGCUACCCAGAGGGAUCAACAUUAUCAAUGGGAAGAAAAAGUACAAGAUGUUCCAAGGAAACGGAGAGACAUCAAGUGGCAAACAGGAUACAUUUAAAGAGCACAAUUUACUAGUA